CCUACGGGCGGCAGCAGUGAGGAAUAUUGGUCAAUGGCCGCAACUCUGAACCAGCCAAGCAGCGUGAAGGACGAAGGUGCCAAGCAUUGUAAACUUCUUUUGUCCAGGGACAAACUCAGGCUCGAGAGCCUGACCGCGGGUACUUCAUGAAAAAGCACCGGCUAACUCCGUGCCAGCAGCCGCGGUAAUACGGAGGAUGCGAGCGUUCUCCGGUUUUAUUGGGGUUAAAGGGUGGGUAGGCGGGUGGUUAAGUCAGCUGUAAAAGCCCGGGGCUAAACCCCGGCGAGCCGUUGAAACUGGCUGGCUUGAGUGGUCGAGAGGUAGGCGGAAUGCGCAGUGUAGCGGUGAAAUGCUUAGAUAUUGCGCAGAACUCCGAUUGCGAAGGCAGCAUACCGGCGGCGAUCUGACGCUGAGGCACGAAAGCGUGGGUAUCGAACAGGAUUAGAUACCCUAGUAGUC
rnacentral:rRNA from 1 species